UGAGGAAUAUUGGUCAAUGGGCGAAAGCCUGAUGCAGCGACGCCGCGUGGGGGAUGAAGGCCUUCGGGUUGUAAACUUCUUUUGCUCUGAACAAGGCAUGCCUUUGGGGUGUGUUGAGUGUAGGGGUUGAUUAGCGCCGGCUAACUACGUGCCAGCAGCCGCGGUAAUACGUAGGGCGCGAGCGUUGUCCGGAAUUAUUGGGCGUAAAGGGCUUGUAGGUGGCUGGUUGCGUCUGUCGUGAAAGCUCAUGGCUUAACUGUGGGUUUGCGGUGGGUACGGGCUGGCUUGAGUGCAGUAGGGGAGGCUGGAAUUCCUGGUGUAGCGGUGGAAUGCGCAGAUAUCAGGAGGAAUACCGGUGGCGAAGGCGGGUCUCUGGGCUGUUACUGACGCUGAGGAGCGAAAGCGUGGGGAGCGAACAGG
rnacentral:rRNA from 1 species